UGGCCCAAAAUCUGAAUUCUGUUGACUAACAUUCCUUCCUCUUGUGGGCAGCAAGGUCUCACAAAUAACACAGUAUCUUUUUUUUGUAGAAGAGCUGCAUUCUGGGAGAGUCUUACAAACAGAAAGUGAGGCAUUAUUUACCCACCUUCCCCCCUAAUCUGCAAUCUACCUACAGCAGCCGUGAGCAGCUAAGAGUUUACAAGGCAAUGCAUAUGAAAAGCCUCCUACCCAUAAUUCAGCCUCCGGUGCCUGAUCUGCUAAAGGAACAGCUGCAGAAGACCCAAGAGGGUGCAGAUGCCACCAAGCAAGUCAAGCCAAAGAGGCGCACUCCUAUGCGCUUUCUGGCUGCCAGCAAUGCUGUAGUCAAAAGACACCGUAUUGUGAGCCAACUUCAAAGAAAAUGAGUCUGUUACCUGGAGGCACAUAGCCUGAAAUUAACAAAUGUACAAAGCAUUUCUAUAAUAUACACUUCAGUA